CAGUAGCCACGGUAAUACGGAGGGGGCUAGCGUUGUUCGGAAUUACUGGGCGUAAAGCGCACGUAGGCGGCUUGGUAAGUUAGAGGUGAAAGCCUGGAGCUCAACUCCAGAAUUGCCUUUAAGACUGCCGAGCUAGCAGGUGAGAGAGGUAAGUGGAAUUCCGAGUGUAGAGGUGAAAUUCAUAGAUAUUCGGAAGAACACCAGUGGCGAAGGCGGCUUACUGGCUCAUACUGGACGCUGAGGUGCGAAAGCGUGGGGAGCAAACAGGAUUAGAUACCCCGGUAGUCCCUGUCUCUUAUAC
rnacentral:rRNA from 1 species